rnacentral:snoRNA from 1 species
UGCGGCCCCGUCAAAUCCAGUCCCUGCCUCCUCCGUGGCGGGGACUGGCCAGCCAGCUGCCGCAACACCUUCUGUAGCGCACGGGCCCCGCGUCCCCUCCCGCGGGACCCCGGGGAUAAAAUCAUGCCACAGACAUUG